rnacentral:rRNA from 1 species
CGUCUAUAUACGUAUAGCAUAUCAAUAAGCGGAGGAAAAGAAACUAACAAGGAUUCCCUUAGUAACGGCGAGUGAAGCGGGAAGAGCUCAAAUUUGAAAUCUUCAAGGUUCUACCUUGACGAAUUGUAGUUUAAAGAAGUGUUUUCUGUUAGAGGAGUAGGCAAAAGUUCUUGGAAUAGGACAUCAUAGAGGGUGAGAAUCCCGUAUUUGGUCAUUCUUUCUAGCUGUGUGAUACACUUUCAAAGAGUCGGAUUGUUUGGGAAUGCAGUCCAAAAUGGGUGGUAAAUUUCAUCUAAAGCUAAAUAUUGGCGAGAGACCGAUAGCGAACAAGUACCGUGAGGGAAAGAUGAAAAGAACUUUGAAAAGAGAGUUAAACAGUACGUGAAAUUGUCAAAAGGGAAGCGUUUGACACCAGUGUUGUUUUUCCGAAAUCAAUUAAGAGUGGCUUGAUUUUGUGUUGUAUUGACCUUAUCAGCUUUCUUCACUCUUUUUCGAGUCUUUCUUAAUGCACUUUUCGGUUAGCAAGUCAACAUCAAUUUCUUUUGUUGUAAAAGGGUAUUUGGAAGGUGGCUUUCUUUUCGGAGAAAGUGUUUAUAGCCUUAUACCUCUACAAUCGGAGAGAUUGAGGUCUGCAGCGUAGAUCCUUCGGGGCUAGAUACACUUGUGCUAAGUUAUAGCUUUUCAUAGACAACUUGUUGACUAUGUUUAGUCAUGUAGCUUACCCGCUUGUGCUAUUUUACCUACGCUUAGGAUGUUGAGUCAUCACACAUCUCU